AGUUCUAGGAUACAUGAGCAGUAUGACGAAUCAGUUUCACGAAUUGCUACAUCAUGUUAACUCUUUUGCUCCUCCGGCCAGAGAUCGUACAGAGGGAUAGAAUUUAGUUAUUUUUCUAAGUGAUUUAGUUUUAAGUUAGAUUAUUUAUUAAUGUUAUUUGAAUUCAUGUUUAUUUCUCUUUCAUUUCAUUGUUUUCCUUUCCUGUAUUACAUUAUGAUCAUUUUUAUUG
rnacentral:lncRNA from 1 species